GACGAACGCUGGCGGCGUGCUUAACACAUGCAAGUGGAGCGAACGAACCAGACUUCGGUCUGGGGCAAAGCCGCGAACGGGUGAGUAUCACGUGGGUAACGUACCCCGAUGACCGGGACAACCCGAGGAAACUCGAGCUAAUACCGGAUGUGCUGUGCGGCCUCAAGGCCGCUCAGUAAAGGAAGCUUCGGCCUCCGCAUUGGGAGCGGCCCGCGGCCCAUUAGCUUGUUGGUGAGGUAACGGCUCACCAAGG
rnacentral:rRNA from 1 species